CCGGCGCCCCGCGGCCCCGGCCCUGAUUGGCUGCUUCUCCCAGGGCGCUCGAAGCUGUUUCCAUGGCAAACGGAAUAAACUUGCCGGGAGAAGAGGAGACCGGGCCGCGGCGGGGGGCGCGACUCCGGAGCACAGGAGGCCAGCCUCGUCUGCAGAAGGAUAUUAGGGUGGCCUGCAAGCUUGCAUUCCUGAUGGCAUUUGCACCUCCCAAAAACAUGGAUGGCCCCAAACUGCAAACCAAGAUGAGCACAUGGACACCUCUGAACAAUCAGCUUAUGAAUGACAAGGUAUUUGAAGAAAGAAGAUCCUUGCUUGGAAAAUGGUUUGACAAGUGGACAGAUGGUCAGAGGCGAAGGAUCCUGACAGAUUUGUUCGACCGCUGCUCCCUGUCACAGCAGAAAUUCUGUUCUCAGCAGUUGCAGGACCGAGUUCCAGUUGAAGCCCUGGAUUUCACCACAAAGCUUCCCAGAGUGUUGUCUUUAUACAUUUUUUCUUUCCUGGACCCCAGGAGUCUCUGCCGAUGUGCACAGGUGAGCUGGCCCUGGAAAUAUUUGACAGAGCUGGAUCAGCUCUGGAUGCUUAAGUGCCUGCGUUUUGGCUGGUACAUCAACUUCUCUCCAACCCCCUUUGAGCAGGGAGUCUGGAAGAAACACUACAUUGAGAUGGUGAAAGAACUUCAUGUGACAAGGCCCAAGACCCCUCCAAAAGAUGAAUUUGUGGUCAUCGAUGUCCAGCCAAUAGCAAGAGAUGUCCCCGAGACAAAACUAUCCCUUUCCUCGGUUCUCCGAUCAGCAUCCGUGCUAGGAAAGAGGACAGACAAGGAGAAAAAAGAGCUCCCACCAUGGCGGUCCUCGGAUAAACAUCCCACUGACAUUGUCCGAUUCAACUACCUAGACAACUACGAUCCAAUCGAGCAAGUGAGGCAGGCUAGAAAGAAAGGAGGAGGACGACUAACCCCAGACCUCAGCCAGCAAGCAUUUGAGAAAAAAAGGAAACCAAGCUGUGCAUCUUAUAAGCUCCGGAAAGCAAAAUCACUGCUGUCCCUAUCUGCAGAUCUUGGCUCUAGCCCAAAAGGACCAGUUCGCCCACGUUGGGCUACUCACCAAUCAACAGGGUACCCUGUUACCAAAGCAACAGCUAAGAUCCUAGCUCAGAGUGCCCAGUGGAAUGCUGGGAUACGACCAGCCCCCGUUCGAGCUCCAGUACCAAAGCUGAGUGAAAGAGGGAAGAAGGCCUUUGCAAGGAUGAGCAGAAGUUCUCCAGCAUCCCCACUGUUUGAAGAUCAGCCCUGGCAAAUUCCUCCAUCGGACCAUGGAUCUGAUGCAGAGUAAGGGAGUGAAGGUUCAGUGCAAUUCAUCCCCAUCAAACCGGCUCAUCUGCCCAGCUUUCAGAAGAUGCCGAUCACGUCCCCUGAGUUACAGUGAAGAAUGGAUGUUACUGAAUCAUGCUCAAAGUCUCAAGGAUCCAGCUCCAUUUUUUUAUGUCACUUGUCACAAUAAGAGAUUUCCCCUGCACCCCAUUGAACUCACUAUACAAUGUGGAGAACCAGGCAUGGAGACCCUGAGGGAGAUUUACUAGUAUAGCUCUGGGCUAACUGCAUUGCAGCCAGUUUAUACUGAAGGGUUUUUGGGGCAGGGACUACAUUUUACUACGUAUACAUACAGCACAUAGCAGAGUGGGCCCUCACUGGGGUUGGGAUCUCCAGGUGCUACCAUAAUACAAAUAAGUCAUGUAAUACUAGGGUGAGAUCAGAAUUUGAAUCAGUAUCUUGUUUGCUAUCUUGCCUUUUUUCAAUAUGUUUUCUUGUCUCUGCUGCUUUGGAUGCUGAUGCCUCAUUCUGCUUUCACUCAGUGUAUGUCUUCACUGCAGAGUUAACUUGGGCAAUUGGCACCCGGGUUAGUCUAACCCACGUGCAAGCCACCACACGGCAAAGCGUUACUGUCUUACUGUGUCCUCACUGGUGCUGAACUCCCAUGUGUGUGUCAUUAGGACUUUGGGGGCAUAUCCCAUGGUCCUGUGUGUUGCAGUAUGCUGAGCUACGCUGAUUCUUUCCCAGUGAAUUGUGGGAGAAUUUGUCUGUCUUUCUGGGCACAGGGGGGAUUGUGGGAGGGCACUGCAGGAUUACCAGCACUGGAGUGAUUUAGGCCUGGUCUACACUAGGGGAGGGGGUCAAUCAAAGUUAGGCAACUUCAGCUACAUGAAUAACAUAGCUGAAAUCGACAUACUUAGAUCUACUUACUGCGGUGUCUUCACUGUGGUAAGUCGACAGCUGACACUCCCCUGUUGACUCCACCUGCGCCUCUCUCUCCGGUGGAGUACCGGAGUCGACGGGAGAGCAUUCGGCGGUCGAUUUAUUGCAUAAACUAAACUAGAUGCGAUAAAUCGACCCCCACUUGAUCAAUUGCUGCCCCUUGAUCCAGUGGGUAAUGUAGAAAAGCCCUUAGACUGUGUCCUCACUGCAAAGUGAGUGGUUACAGCCUGAGUAAAUGUGGAGCCCAGGAUCUUACUUAUCCCCCAGCUGUGCCUGCUAGCCUGGGUUGAAACUCCCCUGAACUCAGGGGAGAGGUUUGUGCAUGGAUGGGAAGGUGGGUUAGGGCUAAAAGCCAGGUAAGAGCUCAGGUUAACUCUGCACAGAUCCUCUCCAAGGUUUAACUCCAUGACUUCAAUUGUGUGACUCCUGAUUUACACCAGUGUGAGAGCAGAAUCAGGCCCCAAACUUUGGCUAAAAGAGUUGCAUGAGAUUUUCCAUGUGGUGCUGAUACCAAUAUGAUUGGCACAGAGAAGGUGAAUCAGGCACCCGUGCUUACCUUGUUCAUGAUACAAGAACAAGAGAGAAGUCAGCAAAACUGAAAGGCAGCAAAUUUAAGACUGAUAACAGGGAAUUUGUUUACAUAACAUGUAAUUAACCUGUGGAAGUCUUUGCCACAAUAUAUCAUUGAGGACAAGAUCUUAGUAGGAUUCAAAACAGGAUUAGACACAGUAACUUUAGAUAGAAAGAAAGUAAAGUCUCAUGCUUCAUGAAGAUGCAGAUGCCAGCUACUAAGUGAUGAGGGUUUAGAAUAAGCUUCCUUUGUGAGCAAGGUUAUUCUGUAAUUGUCCACAGCAAGAUUUAUUGUACCUCCCUAUGAAACAUCUGACACUGGACACUGUCUGAGCCAGGAUACCAGACUAGAGGGACCACUUGUCUGGUCCAGCAUGGUAAUUCCCAUGAUCUGGUUCUUUGUCUCUAGCUGUGUUUUGUAAUGUGCCAUGUAUAUUUCUAACUCCAGAUCAGUUAAUUAGUAAUAACCCAGCUCAUCUCCUUUUCCCACUCUUGACUCUGUACCUUCUUUCAGGCUGCUUCCUAUACUUGGAAGUAUCCUACUUGUCUACCUAAGGCCCACUCGCUCCUUCCUCAAAUCCCUCUCUAUAAACCUUUUCCCCAGGAAGUCUUCCUAUAUUGAUUGCCUUAUUGAGGUUCCAACACUUUCUCUGGCCCAAUUUGUUGUCCUGUGUUUAUUAAGAACAUCUAAUGCCCAUCUUUAAAAAAGGGAAGGAGGAGGAUCUGGGGAACUACAGGCCAGUCAGCCUCACCUCAGUCCCUGGAAAAAUCAUGGAGCAGCUCCUCAAGGAAUCAAUUCUGAAGCACUUAAAGGAGAGGAAAGUGAUCAGGAACAGUCAGCAUGGAUUCAUAAGGGCAAGUCAUGCCUGACUAACCUAAUUGCCUUCUGUGACGAGAUAACUGGCUCUGUGGAUGAGGGAAAAGCAGUAGACGUGUUAUUCCUUGACUUUUAGCAAAGCUUUUGAUACAGUCUCCCACAGUAUUCUUGCCAGCAAGUUAAAGAAGUAUGGGCUGGAUGAAUGGACUAUAAGGUGGAUAGAAAGCUGGCUAGAUCAUCGGGCUCAACGGGUAGUGAUCAAUGGCUCCAUGUCUAGUUGGCAGCCGGUAUCAAGUGGUGCCCCAAGGGUCGGUCCUGGGGCCGGUUUUGUUCAAUAUCUUCAUUAAUGAUCUGGAGGAUGGCGUGGAUUGCAGCCUCAGCAAGUUUGCAGAUGACACUAAACUGGGAGGAGUGGUAGAUACACUGGAGGGUAGGGAUAGGAUACAGAGGGACCUAGACAAAUUAGAGGAUUGGGCCAAAAGAAAUCUGAUGAGGUUCAACAAGGACAAGUGCAGAGUCCUGCACUUAGGAAGGAAGAAUCCCAUGCACUGCUACAGACUAAGGACCGAAUGGCUAGGCAGCAGUUCUGCAGAAAAGGACCUAGGGGUUACAGUGAACAAGAAGAUGGAUAUGAGUCAACAGUGUGCUCUUGUUGCCAAGAAGGCUAACGGCAUUUUGGGAUGUAUAAGUAGGGGCAUUGCCAGCAGAUCGAAGGACGUGAUCAUUCCCCUCUAUUCGACAUUUGUGAGGCCUCAUCUGGAGUACUGUGUCCAGUUUUGGGCCCCACACUACAAGAAGGAUGUGGAAAAAUUGGAAAGAGUCCAGCGGAGGGCAACAAAAAUUAUUAGGGGGCUGGAGCACAUGACUUAUGAGGAGAGGCUGAGGGAACUGGGAUUGUUUAGUCUGCGGAAGAGAAGAAUGAGGGGGGAUUUGAUAGCUGCUUUCAACUACCUGAAAGGGAAUUCCAAAGAGGAUGGAUCUAGACUGUUCUCAGUGGUACCAGAUGACAGAACGAGGAGUAAUGGUCUCAAGUUGCAGUUUGAGAGGUUUAGGUUGGAUGUUAGGAAAAACUUUUUCACUAGAAGGUGGUGAAGCACUGGAAUGGGUUACCUCGGGAGGUGGUGGAAUCUCCUUUCUUAGAGAUUUUUAAGGUCAGGCUUGACAAAGCCUUGGCUGGAAUGAUUUAGUUGGGGAUUGGUCCUGCUUUGAGCAGGAGGUUGGACUAGAUGACCUCCUGAGGUCCCUUCCAACCCUGAUAUUUUAUGAACAUAAGAAUGGCCAUACAGCGUCAGACCAAUGGUCCAUCUAGCUCAGUGUCCUGUCUCUGACAAUAGCCAGUGCAGAGCUGCAGCGGGAGUGUACAAAACAGGGGCAAUUUUGGAGAGAUCCACUCCUGUCUUCCCCUCCUGGAUUCUGGCAGUAAGCGGUUUAGGGUCACCCCGAGCAUGGGGUUACAUCCCUGACCAUCUUUUCUAAUAGCCAUUGAUGGACCUAUCCUCCAUGAACUUAUCUACAUUCUUUUUUGAAUCCAGUUAUACUUUUGGACAUUGAAAUAUCCCAUAGCAAUGGGUUCCACAGGUUUAUUGUGUGAGGCAUGAAAAAGUACUUCUUCCUCUUUGUAUUAAACCUGCUGGCUAGUAGUUUCAUUGAGUGACCCCUGUUUUUUGAUUUGUGGGAAAGGAUAACUACUUUUUCCCCAUACCAUUCAUUUUAUACACCUCUAUCAUAUUCCCCCUUAAUAGUCACUUUUCUAAACUGAAUGGCCGUAAUCUUUAGUGUGUCCUCCUAUGGAAGUCGUUCCAUAUACUUGGUCAUCUUUUUUGCCCUUCUCUGAACUUUUCCGAGUUCUUUUUUGAGGUGGGGCAACCAGAACUGGGCAUAGUAUUCAAGGUGUGGGUGUCCCAUGGAUUUAUAUAGUGGCAUUAUGAUAUUUUUGUCUUAUUUUCUAUCCCUUUCCUAACAGUUCAUAACAUUGUUGGGCUUUUUGACCACUGCUGCACAUUGAGCUGAAGUUUUCAGAGAACUAUCCACAAUGACUCCAAGAUCUUUCUUGAGUGGUAACAGCUAAUUUAGACCCCAUCAUUUUGUAUGUAGAGUUGGGAUUAUUUUUUCCAAUGUUCAUUACUUUCCACAUAUCAAUGUUGAAUUUCAUCUGCCAUUUUGUUGUCCAGUCACCCAGUAUUGUGAGAUCCCUUUGUAACUCUUCACAGUCAGCUUUGGACUUAACUCUCUUGAAUAAUUUUAUAUCAUCUGCAAACUUUGCCACUUCACUAUCUACUCCCUUUUCCAGAUCAUUAAUGAAUAUGUUGAACAUCCCAGGUCCAAGUUUAGAUCAUUGGAGGACUCUACUGUUUACCUCUCUGCAGUGUAAAAACUGACCACUUAUUCUCACCCUUUUUCCUGUCUUUUAACCACACACUAAUUCAUGACAAGACCUUCCCUGGUAUCCCAUGACGACUUAGUUUCCUUCAGAAUUUUUGUUGAGGGAUCUUAUCAAAGGCUUUCUGAAAGUCCAAGUGUACUAUAUUGACUGGAUCACCCUUAUCCACAUGCUUGUUGACACCCUCGAAGUAUUCUAACAGAUUGGUGAGACACGACUUCACAAAAGCCAGGUUGACUCUUCCUUAACAAAUUGUGCUCAUCAAUGUGUCUGAUAUUCUGUUUUUUACAAUAGUUUCAAUCAAUUUGCCUGGUACUGAAGUUAGGCUUACUGGCCUGUAAUUGCCAGGAUUGCCUGUGGAGCUGGUUUUUGAAAAUCGGCAUUACAUUAGCUACCUUCCAGUCAUCUGCUACAGAGGCUGAUUUAUGUGAUAGGUUACAUACCCCAGUUAAUAGUUCUGCAAUUUCAUGUUUGAGUCCCUUCAGAACUCUUCAGUGAAUACCAUCUGAGCCUGGUGACUUAUUACUGUUUAAUUUAUCAAUUUGUUCUAAAACCUCUUCUAUUGACCCAUCAGUGUGGGACAGCACUUCAUGUUUAUCACCCAAAAGAAAUAGCUCUGAUAUAGGUAUCUUCCCCACAUGCUCUGCAUUGAAGACAGAUGCAAAGAAUUCAUUUAGCUUCUCUGCAAUGGCCUUGUCUUCCUUGAAUGCGCCAAGAACGCCAUUAUCAUCUAGUAGCCCCACUGCCUGCUUGGCAGUCUUUUUGCUUCUGAUGCACUUAAAAAAAUUCUUACCAUUAAUUUUGCCUCUUUAGCAAGUUGCUUCUGUCUGAAUUGUCUGAGUGGUUUGUCUGAAUUAGGCAGUAGGUUCUUUGUGGCAGGACCUCCAAGAAUAGCUGUAUAUUACUAAAUGACAGGGGCUAAGCAAAUACAAUGAUGUAACAUUGGGAGGGGGCUGACUAUGUUAAUAUAGUUCUUAAGCCACUGAGCAUGCUCAGUAUGAAGAUGCUGUUUUUGGAAGCCUGACCAGACUCAGACUGAGCUGAAUGCUCCAGCAACUAAUAACAAGGCUGUGCUUUUCCUAUAGACAAACCUGUGUCCUUCUUUGUCGAUAUACGUCAUUGUUUGAUAUUUCCAGAUCCCAGGCAAUUAUAAUUGCAAUCUUUACCCAAACACAGCUAAAGUACCUUAUAAAUAAGGCUAAGAUUUUGUCAAGGAUAUUUUUAGUAAAACUCACGGACAGGUCAUGGGCAAAAAAGAAAAAUUCACAGAAGACAUGACCUGUCUGUGACUUUUACUAAAAAUAUCUGUGACAAAAUGGGGAUCUGCAGGUCCCCACACCACCUGAAGGGGGGCAACAGCACAGGGGCUGGGACCCACAUGCAGCAGCUGGGGGCUGCGGGGUAUCUCCACUGCCUGCAGCUCCAGGGGCAAUGGCAGCUGGGAGAUCGCGGGUUCCCACACUGCCUGCGGUGGCUGGGAGCUGUGGGGUGUCCCUGCUGCACGCUGGGGCUGGGAGCUGCAGGGUACCCCUGCCACCUGCAGCUCCAGGAGCCUGCGGUCGCCGGGAGCUUUGGGUUUCCCCACCACUGCCGCUCUUAGUGGCUGGGAGCCCGGGGGGUUCCCCACCGCUCGUGAUGGGCUGGGAUCUUGGGGGUUCCCCCAGGAGCUGCAGGGUACCCCGCUGCAUGCGGUGGUGUGGAGCUCUGGGGGCUGCCAGAGGCAGCGGGGGUACCCUGUAGCUCCCUGCCCCCACGGGUAGUGGGAGACCCUGCAGCUCCUGACCACCACAGGGUGAAGUCACGCAGGUCACUGGAAGUCACAGACCUCCAUGACUAAAUCGUAGCCUUACUUAUAAACCCUUAUGGCCAAUGAAUCAGUGGAUUUAUUGCUGAAUUCCACCAGUAAUAGAAGAAGGGCCACAUUAUGGGGUUUACAGCCCCCACACUAAACUAGAGCAAGGCAUGGAGCAGGACUGGGACAGGAAGGCCCCUCAACAGGUAAAGGGUAUGCUCCAGGUGGAGAGACGGUUUUAAAAGGGCACCGGUAGCUCAGUGAGAGGAGGGGAGGACUAACAGGCAGAACCAGGAAGUGAGGUUGACACCUGGAGCUGUGGGAAGAGUGACUGCAGCCUGCUCUCACUCCAGGAGCAGUGGUCCAUAUUUUCCCACCCCUUUUUGGAGCUGAGAAUCCACAAGAGAUCCCGAAGAACGGGAUGUUGACCCCUUCCAGACAAAGCAGAUACUACUGACUGGGACCAUGCCCAAACAAAGGAGCCACAGCCCAGUAGGAAGUGACCUGGACAGGGGGCACAUAACUUGGGGUGGACCAACAAGUAGUCCAGACACUGUAACACCCCUGUAGCACCUUGGGUUGGGACCUGGUGCAGUGGGAGAGCCUGGGUCCUCCUCUCCUGCUCCCCAUCAUCAUUACAAAACCCCAAGUGAGGGAACGGGGGACACACAGAGACUGAGGCCUUCUCUAUGCACCCAUCAGGGCCCCCUCCAGGGCAGGCAGACUGAAGAAAACUGUAAAGCCACUGUCUGACCAAAAUUGGCGGAGAAUGCAGGCAUAUGUCCUUGGGCCUGAAGGGAGCCUGAGACAUUAAAACAAAAACUGAAGUGGGUUGUAGGGAUGGAUCUUGACAAAUUGCUAUAAUGUGUUGUGGAGAAUCAACAUCAACAACAACUACCGACCCAGUAUUGGAACACCCGGCAAUGCAACAAUAGCAGCAGGCUAUGUAGCAACAACAGCAGCAGCAGCUCAUUAGGGAGUUGGCAACACAACAUGGCUUCUAACCCACCAGUGGGAGUGGCGAACAACAGCCUAACUCCAAUCCUCCCUCUGAAACUGACAACAAUGGAACCAGACGAUAAACCCAAAGCAUUCCUAGUAAUGUUCAAGAGGGUCGCCAUGGCAGCCUAUUGGCUGGUGGAGAGCUGAGUGGUCCUGAUUGCCUCAUACCUGAAAGGGGUGGCCCAGGCCGAUACUGAAGCCUUGAUGCGAUGGCUGCGCAGGACUAUUCCCCACUCAAGGCAGCCAUCUUAGAUGCUUUUGUCAUCUCAGAGGAGACCCAAUGCAGAGGGUACGGCAGGAGAGAUUUUUGGCCAGAGCCUGACCCAGGACAGUAACCCAGACUUUAAAGGAACAUUGCUGGUGGUGGUUCCAGCCCUAGGAAAUAACAGGAGUACAGGUGGUGGAAAGGUUCAUGUUGGAGAAGAGUCAACAAAGUUCUCCCCCUGGAAUACGGGACUGGGUGGUCCGAUACCAACCAGAGACACUGUAAGAAGCAGUGACACUGACUAAGAAUUACGUGCUGUCUGCUGGGCCUAUCCAAGAAACACCAAGGAGGGACAUGGGCCAAUCACAGCCAAAUCAGAUGACCAGAGGAAGAGUGAGGAGAGGAGGUACAAGAGAAAUCUGGCUUCCCAAUCCAAGGAGGGAUGGCCAAGUGAGCAGAGACUGCCCUCGGGGGUUGAGCCCCACAGAGAGAUGAGACAGGAGGGAGGUCCAAGUCCAGCGAGAGGCUCCUCCAUGGAAACACCACUGAAUUUGGGAGCACAAGCAGCAUCUCUGCAUCUGUUGUGUAACUGUAAACCUGCCAUGGGCCUAAUCCUGCACCCACUGAAGUCAGUUAUAAUAAAUCCAGGUGCUGCUUCAGACGCAAUCAGAACCACCUGCCUCUUUGUGGGGAGAGAGACCAGCUUUCCCUGGAAAUCAGAAGGCGCAAGUGGUGCAGCAGUGGCAGACAACUUAGCCCUGGUCUACACUAGGACUUUAGGUCGAAUUUAGCAGCGUUAAGUCGAUGUAAACCUGCACCCGUCCACACGAUGAAGCCCUUUAUUUCAACUUAAAGGGCUCUUAAAAUCGAUUUCCUUACUCCACCCCUGACAAGUGGAUUAGCGCUUAAAUCGGCCUUGCCGGCUCGAAUUUGGGGUACUGUGGAUGCAAUUCGACGGUAUUGGCCUCCGGGAGCUAUCCCAGAGUGCUCCAUUGUGACCGCUCUGGACAGCACUCUCAACUCAGAUGCACUGGCCAGGUAGACAGGAAAAGAACCGCGAACUUUUGAAUCUCAUUUCCUGUUUGGCUAGCGUGGCAAGCUGCAGGUGACCAUGCAGAGCUCAUCAGCAGAGGUGACCAUGAUGGAGUCCCAGAAUCGCAAAAGAGCUCCAGCAUGGACCGAACGGGAGGUACGGGAUCUGAUCGCUGUAUGGGGAGAGGAAUCCGUGCUAUCAGAACUCCGUUCCAGUUUUCGAAAUGCCAAAACCUUUGUCAAAAUCUCCCAGGGCAUGAAGGACAGAGGCCAUAACAGGGACCCGAAGCAGUGCCUCGUGAAACUUAAGGAGCUGAGGCAAGCCUACCAGAAAACCAGAGAGGCGAAUGGCCUCUCCGGGUCAGAGCCCCAAACAUGCCGCUUCUAUGAUGAGCUGCAUGCCAUUUUAGGGGAUUCAGCCACCACUACCCUAGCCGUGUUGUUUGACUCCUUCAAUGGAGAUGGAGGCAACACGGAAGUAGGUUUUGGGGACGAAGAAGAUGAUGAUGAUGAGGAGGAGGUUGUAGCUAGCUCACAGCAAGCAAGCGGAGAAACCGGUUUUCCCGACAGCCAGGAACUGUUUCCCACCCUGGACCUGGAGCCAGUACCCCCCGAACCCACCCAAAGCUGCCUCCUGGACCCGGCAGGUGGAGAAGGGACCUCCACUGCAUGUGUUUCAAUGAUCACAGGAUCUUCUCCUUCCCAGAGGCUAGUGAAAAUUAGAAAGAAAAAAAAACGCACUCAUGAUGAAAUGUUCUCUGAGCUCAUGUUGUCCUCCCACACUGACAGAGCACAGACGAAUGCGUGGAGGCAAAUAAUGUCAGAGUGCAGGAAAGCACAAAAUGACCAGGAGGAGAGGUGGCGGGCUGAAGAGAGUAAGUGGCGGGCUGAAGACAGGGCUGAAGCUCAAAUGUGGUGGCAGCGUGAUGAGAGGAGGCAGGAUUCAAUGCUGAGGCUGCUGGAGGAUCAAACCAGUAUGCUCCAGUGUAUGGCUGAGCUGCAGCAAAGGCAGCUGGAGCACAGACUGCCACUGCAGCCCCUCUGUAACCAACCGCCCUCCUCCCCAAGUUCCAUAGCCUCCACACCCAGACGCCCAAGAACGCGGUGGGGGGGCCUCCGGCCAACCAGCCACUCCACCACAGAGGAUUGCCCCAAAAAAAGAAGGCUGGCAUUCAAUAAAUUUUAAAGUUGUAAACUUUUUAAAGUGCUGUGUGGCAUUUUCCUUCCCUCCUCCACCACCCCUCCUGGGCUACCUUGGUAGUCACCCCCCUAUUUGUGUGAUGAAUGAAUAAAGAAUGCAUGAAUGUGAA